ACAGCCUUGCAAGAAAACAAACCAAGUCACCUGUGUAUUCCUACAGUCAGGAAAGACCAUCAGAGCCCUAACCUUCAGGACUGGAGGAUUCAAAAUGUUCAGAUAAAAAUACACACAUAGGGGUGCCCGCGUGGCUCAGUAGGCUAAGCGUCCGACUUGGGCUCAGGUCAUGAUCUCACAGUUUGUGAGUUCGAGCCCCACAUCAGGCACCAUGCUGGCAGUGUGGAGCCUGCUUGGGAUUUUUUCUCUCUCCCUCUAUCUCUGCCCUGCUUGCUCUCUCUCUCUCUCUCUCUCUCUCUCUC